rnacentral:rRNA from 1 species
GACGAACGCUGGCGGCGUGCCUAAUACAUGCAAGUUGAGCGAUGAAGAUUGGUGCUUGCACCAAUUUGAAGAGCAGCGAACGGGUGAGUAACGCGUGGGUAAUCUGCCUUUGAGCGGGGGACAACAUUUGGAAACGAAUGCUAAUACCGCAUAACAACUUUAAACAUAAGUUUUAAGUUUGAAAGAUGCAAUUGCAUCACUCAAAGAUGAUCCCGCGUUGUAUUAGCUAGUUGGUGAGGUAAAGGCUCACCAAGGCGAUGAUACAUAGCCGACCUGAGAGGGUGAACGGCGACAUUGGGACUGAGAGAACGCCCAAACUCCUACGGGAGGCAGCAGUAGGGAAUCUUCGGAAAUGGACGAAGGUAUGACCGAGCAACGCCGCGUGAGUGAAGAAGGUUUUCGGGUCGUAAAACUCUGUUGGUAGAGAAGAACGUUGGUGAGAGUGGAAAGCUCAUCAAGUGACGGUACCUACACAGAAAGGGACGGCUAACUACGUG